AGAGUUUGAUCAUGGCUCAGGAUGAACGCUGGCGGCGUGCUUAACACAUGCAAGUCGAACGGGAAAUAUUUCAUUGAGACUUCGGUGGAUUUGAUCUGUUUCUAGUGGCGGACGGGUGAGUAACGCGUGGGUAACCUGCCUUAUACAGGGGGAUAACAGUCAGAAAUGGCUGCUAAUACCGCAUAAGCGCACAGAGCUGCAUGGCUCAGUGUGAAAAACUCCGGUGGUAUAAGAUGGACCCGCGUUGGAUUAGCUAGUUGGUGGGGUAACGGCCCACCAAGGCGACGAUCCAUAGCCGGCCUGAGAGGGUGAACGGCCACAUUGGGACUGAGACACGGCCCAGACUCUUACGGGAGGCAGCAGUGGGGAAUAUUGCACAAUGGGGGAAACCCUGAUGCAGCGACGCCGCGUGAAGGAAGAAGUAUCUCGGUAUGUAAACUUCUAUCAGCAGGGAAGAUAGUGACGGUACCUGACUAAGAAGCCCCGGCUAACUACGUGCCAGCAGCCGCGGUAAUACGUAGGGGGCAAGCGUUAUCCGGAUUUACUGGGUGUAAAGGGAGCGUAGACGGUGUGGCAAGUCUGAUGUGAAAGGCAUGGGCUCAACCUGUGGACUGCAUUGGAAACUGUCAUACUUGAGUGCCGGAGGGGUAAGCGGAAUUCCUAGUGUAGCGGUGAAAUGCGUAGAUAUUAGGAGGAACACCAGUGGCGAAGGCGGCUUACUGGACGGUAACUGACGUUGAGGCUCGAAAGCGUGGGGAGCAAACAGGAUUAGAUACCCUGGUAGU
rnacentral:rRNA from 1 species